rnacentral:rRNA from 1 species
AACGAACGCUUUCUUCCUUCCUAACACAUGCAAGUCGAACGAAGGCUUCGGCCUUAGUGGCGCACGGGUGCGUAACGCGUGGGAAUCUGCCCUUUGCUUCGGAAUAACAGUUAGAAAUGACUGCUAAUACCGGAUGAUGUCGCAAGACCAAAGAUUUAUCGGCAAAGGAUGAGCCCGCGUAGGAUUAGCUAGUUGGUGGGGUAAAGGCCUACCAAGGCGACGAUCCUUAGCUGGUCUGAGAGGAUGAUCAGCCACACUGGGACUGAGACACGGCCCAGACUCCUACGGGAGGCAGCAGUGGGGAAUAUUGGACAAUGGGCGAAAGCCUGAUCCAGCAAUGCCGCGUGAGUGAUGAAGGCCUUAGGGUUGUAAAGCUCUUUUACCCGGGAUGAUAAUGACAGUACCGGGAGAAUAAGCUCCGGCUAACUCCGUG